CCUCCUGUAGCUGGUUGGCCACACACAGCAGGAGGCGAGGCAGAGCAGCUGACUCACCCCUCCAGAACUAUCUUCCCAUGACCUAACCUGGUGAGGUCAUUCCUACUAUCAUUGCCAUUGUGUGGAGGAAGAAACCCAGACAUAGUAACGCUGCCAAAGCCACUCAACAGAUAUGAGGGGGAGGAGGCACUGAACCCAGGAAGCCUGGUGCCAUGGCUGUGCCUUUAAUGACUCUCCAGAAGAAGCUGGUUCUGUGCUACGUGUGAUUUCUCCUCUCCUGCUCCCCUCCCCUUGGUCAAGUGAGCAGGAUGCAGGGCGGGUUGCUGCUGGCCAGGCCAGAGCAUCCUAGCUUCA
rnacentral:lncRNA from 1 species